rnacentral:rRNA from 2 species
AAAUUGAAGAGUUUGAUCAUGGCUCAGAUUGAACGCUGGCGGCAGGCCUAACACAUGCAAGUCGAACGGUAACAGGAAGCAGCUUGCUGCUUUGCUGACGAGUGGCGGACGGGUGAGUAAUGUCUGGGAAACUGCCUGAUGGAGGGGGAUAACUACUGGAAACGGUGGCUAAUACCGCAUAACGUCGCAAGACCAAAGAGGGGGACCUUCGGGCCUCUUGCCAUCAGAUGUGCCCAGAUGGGAUUAGCUUGUUGGUGAGGUAACGGCUCACCAAGGCGA